UAGUCAGAUAAGACGCACACACUGCUGGUUUCCUUGCUUUGAUACUGCCACACAACGCUGUCCAUUUGACCUAGAGUUUACAGUUAGCACGAAUUUAGUCGCUGUCAGCAAUGGUGACUUGCUUUACCAGGUCCUAAGCAAGGAAGAUCCUUCAAGAAAAACUUACGUGUAUAAAUUGAACACUCCAGUUAGUGCACAGUGGAUAU